GAGGGGGUGCAAACGUUAUUCGGAUUUAUUGGGUGUAAAGGGUGUGUAGACGGGCCUAUUAAGUUUGUUGUUAAAUCUUCCGGGCCUAACCGGGAAGCUCGCGAUGAAAACUGAUAGACUUGAGGAUGGAAGAGAGAAGUGGAAUUCUCGGAGUAGCGGUAAAAUGCGUAGAUCUCGAGAGGAACACCGAUGGCGAAGGCAGCUUCUUGGUCCAUUCCUGACGUUGAAAAACGAAAGCGUGGGGAGCAAACAGGAUUAGAUACCCUGGUAGUCCACGCCGUAAACGAUGAUCACUAGAUGUUGGCCCUGUUUUGCAGGGUUAGUAUCGAAGCUAACGCGUUAAGUGAUCCACCUGGGAACUACGAUCGCAAGAUUA
rnacentral:rRNA from 1 species